UACGUAGGGCGCAAGCGUUAUCCGGAAUUAUUGGGCGUAAAGAGCUCGUAGGCGGUUUGUCGCGUCUGCCGUGAAAGUCCGGGGCUCAACUCCGGAUCUGCGGUGGGUACGGGCAGACUAGAGUGAUGUAGGGGAGACUGGAAUUCCUGGUGUAGCGGUGAAAUGCGCAGAUAUCAGGAGGAACACCGGUGGCGAAGGCGGGUCUCUGGGCCGAUACUGACGUUGAGGAGCGAAAGCGUGGGGAGCGAACAGG
rnacentral:rRNA from 1 species